AAUCAACGCUGGCGGCGUGCCUAACACAUGCAAGUCGAACGCGAAAGCCCCUUCGGGGGUAAGUAGAGUGGCGUCCGGGUGGGUAACACGUAGGUAAUCUGCCUUCGGGUGGGAAUAACCAGUCGAAGAUUGGCUAAUACCGCAUAAUGCAGCGGCACCUAAUGGUGAUUAGUUGUUAAAGCGGGGGGAUCGUAAGACCUCGCGCCUGAAGAGGAGCCCUGCGGCAGAUUAGCUAGNGGUGAGGUAAUGGCUCACCAAGGCUUCGAUCUGUAGCUGGUCUGAGAGGACGGCCAGCCACACUGGCACUGACAC
rnacentral:rRNA from 1 species